rnacentral:rRNA from 1 species
UACGUAGGGAGCAAGCGUUGUCCGGAAUCAUUGGGCGUAAAGCGCGCGUAGGUGGCCUCAUAAGUCCGCUGUGAAAGUCAAAGGCUCAACCUUUGAAAGCCGGUGGAUACUGUGAGGCUAGAGUACGGAAGAGGCGAGUGGAAUUCCUGGUGUAGCGGUGGAAUGCGCAGAUAUCAGGAGGAACACCAAUAGCGAAGGCAGCUCGCUGGGACGUGACUGACACUGAGGCGCGAAAGCGUGGGGAGCGAACAGG